rnacentral:lncRNA from 1 species
CAGAGAUUAAGAAGUUGGUGUGACGGUGCUCAUUUGUAGAUUCUGACCAAUAAAUCAGGCAAAACUACACAUGAUGAUCUUCAUAUUUUCUCUAUAAAUUUAGAUUUAGCAUAUAUAUUCUUGCAAGAGUCAAAAACUUAGAGAUAUGUCACUGUAGUUGAUACUGGUCAAUUAGUCAAUAGUAUAACAACACUGAAAUUACAUGAAAGAUGAGAAUAAUAAGGAUAAUUAAACUCAAAUUAGUUAACCUUGAUGUCAUCCUGUAUAUUACCAGAUUGACAAUCCAAACAGUUCAACAAAUAAAUUAUAUGUCAAUAUUAAUAUUUUUUUUCUGUAUAUCCUUCUCAAAUGGCUCUGUUCAAGUGAAUUAUCGACACUGCUAUUCUGAAAUAUUUUAGUUUUCCUUCUUAAGUAAAAAAGCAUCAGGAUAAUUUCAAUCUGGAUAAAUUGUUCAUGUGAUGGAUGCAUCCAUCACAGCCAUGCAGGACCAUGAAAAAGAUUCAAAUGCUGGCAAGUUCUUCUCUACUGGAUAUGGUAAAAGAAAAUUGUGAUACACAUGUUAACAUGGAUAAGAUAACCAUUGACAUCUUGGACACACAGCUUUACAGGUUGCCAACAUGGACAUGGAAGAAGACCUCUUGGACUUGAGAUAUAGCCAACUCUGGUGAGCUUUUUUUGGCUCUAUUAGAACUUAAAUGGAUUAGGUGAGUAUGGUGGAUGAUAUCUUUAUCACUUACACUAUGACAAGAUGAGUGACAGAUUCUUAGGAACAAAAAAGUUGAGAUGAUCAGAUUCCUUCCUGAGCUCUUUCCACACUAAACACAUUCCUAUAUAUAUAUAUAUAUAUACAUAUAUAUAUAUAUAUAUAUAUAUAUAUACAUAUAUAUAUAUACAUAUAUAUAUAUAUGUAUGUAUAUAUAUAUGUAUAUAUAUAUAUAUGUAUAUGUAUAUGUAUGUAUAUAUAUAUAUAUAUAUGUAUAUAUAUAUAUAUAUAUGUAUAUAUAUAUGUAUGUAUGUAUAUAUAUAUACAUAUAUUCCUAACCUCUACCUUCAUCACUGAAUUUGACAUAUAGUGAUAUAGACACCAGAGUUACAGUAAGCUUCAGUUUACCUAAGUGCCUUCUAUUAAGUUCAGCUAUUAGGUCUACCAAGUCUCAAAACAAUAGAUCUCAGUGACAAAACUAAGAAAAGAAGUCUACUAGAAGCAUGAUGAUAUCUAUCAGGGUGUCAUGUAUCAGAGCUGGAAGUCCAGGAAUUUAUUUAGGUGAACAAGGAUGGAAGAAACAGGUUUAAUCAUUCACCAUUAUGUGAAAUUGGAAUGUGUAUUUGUCAUAGAUGACUCUUUCCAACACCUUGGGUGAUGCAGACUGCUGAGCCACUUUUGCAUGGCAACUACUGCCAGUUUCCUGCUUGCAGCUUGUCAUGUAUAUUUUCUGGAGGAUGAGGCCGUCAAAGGAAGUGAUUGAUUUGGAAAAGAUCUGUGACAAGAGUACUUGUGCCAGAAGGAACCAACUCAGUCAGAGAUUCUAAAGACAUGCCAUGUUCAUACUCAUCUGCCUGAUGGAAGGAAGAGAUACCAUUCAUGUUCUUUUACACACUAGGCUGAAUUAGAUCAACAACCUUUAGCCAAAAGCAGAUGUAGAUCCAUGCAUGUAGCAAAGAAGACUAACCUUUUUCUUGGCUCUUUAAUCUUUUACACUUACCAUAUUUCAAGGUGUUGUCAUCCACAUAUUGGCUGACAUUGUUGAUAGCAAUCCUGAUCAAGAGACAAAUUCUUCUGAUGGUUAUCUUGCAAAGAGCAUUCAAAACAAUUAACCAAGUAAGUGCAAGGAAGCUUCAUAUGCCAUCAAGGAUUCCUUGACCACUUGUUCAUGUUAAAUCUCCAACCUCAAACUGUAUUCUCUUCCAGGUGCCUCUAGAUGACAUGGUCAGAAAUUUCCAGAAACCACAAAAAGAAAAAUUGCCUUUGUGCAAAUUAAGGCCAGUCAGAAGAGAUCAAACUAUUUUACCAAUGGCACAUUCAAUGCAGAGAUUCAUGGACAACCUCCUUGAAUCAAUGCCACAUGCAAAAGAUCUAAGAAAGAGAGAUGGUUCCAGCUUGUUCAACAAAUCUUCUCAAAGGAUGGGAAAAGAUAAAAAGAGUUAAAGCAACCUCUGUUUCUAGGUAACCAUUUUCCACGGAUUCAAUGAUACACACUUCAAGACCGCUGACAAAUCCUCUUGCAGGGAAACCAUUCCCUUAAAAUGCUAGUUAUUACUAUAUGAAAGAAGUUGACUUCCUAGAAAAAGUAGAUCUGCCAUAUCUGAGUGGUAUAGCCUCAUCUGGAUCUAAAAAUGAACAGAGGAGAACCAAAAACCAAAGAUGAUUUUUUGCAUCACUGAAAUGCUGUUAUCAGGAAAACAAAGAAGCCCCAACCCUUGAUCAGGAUUUGUUCUUCACCAAGACUCUCUUCAGCUACUGCUCCCUGCUGUAAGGAAUUCAUUGGUGAGGAUUGGAUUCAAUCUGUUGUUUGUUUGUGUUCUUGUUUCAAAGGCUCCUAAAUAAUGGCGGAGUUGGCAAACUGUACAUCGUGUUCUCUUCCUAAUCCACACCCUGUAGGCAUCCGAUGCUGGCUCAUGACUUAACCUAAACGCAAAGAGAAGAGAGCCGUGGGAGGUGGUGGGAAGCAACUGAUAGGGGCGAGGUUAGAUUUGUCAUAAAGAUCGUGUUCCAGACAAGACCACGUUUACACGGGGAAAUCCAACCACUAGAUUCUCCUACCGAUCCACGUUCACACGUUGUCGGCGCCGACCCGCCAUGGACCCCCGCUGCUGACCUGUCUCCCCCUGACGUCGCCACGAGGGACUUCGACGAACCGUCGUCUGAGCUAGCGGCCUCCUCCGCGUCCCCCCCC